rnacentral:rRNA from 1 species
AUUGAACGCUGGCGGCAUGCUUUACACAUGCAAGUCGAACGGUAACAGGCCUUCGGGUGCUGACGAGUGGCGAACGGGUGAGUAAUGCAUCGGAACGUGCCCAAUCGUGGGGGAUAACGUAGCGAAAGUUACGCUAAUACCGCAUAAGCCCUGAGGGGGAAAGCAGGGGAUCGCAAGACCUUGCGCGAAUGGAGCGGCCGAUGUCAGAUUAGCUAGUUGGUGGGGUAAAGGCCUACCAAGGCGACGAUCUGUAGCGGGUCUGAGAGGAUGAUCCGCCACACUGGGACUGAGACACGGCCCAGACUCCUACGGGAGGCAGCAGUGGGGAAUUUUGGACAAUGGGCGCAAGCCUGAUCCAGCCAUGCCGCGUGCGGGACGAAGGCCUCGGUUGUAACCGCUUCAGCCGGAAGAAAUCGCCAAGGCUAAUAUCCUUGGUGGAUGACGGUACCGGAAGAAGAAG